UACGAAGGGGGCGAGCGUUGUUCGGAAUUACUGGGCGUAAAGGGCUCGUAGGCGGCCAACUAAGUCAGACGUGAAAUCCCUCGGCUUAACCGGGGAACUGCGUCUGAUACUGGAUGGCUUGAGUUUGGGAGAGGGAUGCGGAAUUCCAGGUGUAGCGGUGAAAUGCGUAGAUAUCUGGAGGAACACCGGUGGCGAAGGCGGCAUCCUGGACCAACACUGACGCUGAGGAACGAAAGCCAGGGGAGCAAACGGG
rnacentral:rRNA from 1 species